AUUGAACGCUAGCGGGAUGCUUUACACAUGCAAGUAGAACGAGUGGCGGACGGGUGGGUAAUAUAUCGGAACGUGGCCAGUAGCGGGGGAUAAAUACGCGAAAGAGUAGCUAAUAACGCAUAAGAUUCGAGCGGCGUAUAUCGGAUUAGCUAGUGGGGGGGGUAAAGGCUCACCAAGGCCAAGAUCCGUAGCUGGUUUGAGAGGAAGAUCAGCCACACUGGGACUGAGACACGGCCCAGACUCCUACGGGAGGCAGCAGUGGUGAAGUUGGGACAAUGGGGGAAACCCUGAUCCAGCCAUCCCGCGUGUAUGAGAAGGCCUUCGGUUUGUAAAGUACUUUUGGCAGAGAAGCGGUAUCUGCAGAAUAAGCACCGGCUAACUACGUGCCAGCAGCCGCGGUAAUUC
rnacentral:rRNA from 1 species